rnacentral:rRNA from 1 species
UACGUAGGGCGCAAGCGUUAUCCGGAAUUAUUGGGCGUAAAGAGCUCGUAGGCGGUUUGUCGCGUCGAAUGUGAAAACCCGGGGCUCAACCCCGGGCCUGCAUUCGAUACGGGCAGACUAGAGUUCGGUAGGGGAGUCUGGAAUUCCUGGUGUAGCGGUGAAAUGCGCAGAUAUCAGGAGGAACACCGGUGGCGAAGGCGGGUCUCUGGGCAGUAACUGACGCUGAGGAGCGAAAGCGUGGGGGAGCGAACAGG